rnacentral:ribozyme from 1 species
GGCAAUACCUCGCUGAUACGGGGGUGGAUCCGAAGCCUCUAGAAGGUUAACAUAGGCUCUCCACCUCCUACCCCUACCUUACUCUCCUACCUUACUCAAUACAUCCCCGUCGUACAGAACGGUCACAUGUCUCUCAAUCAUCCAAGCUUGGGUAUACGGGGAAACCCAACUCCUUGGGCGGAUGGGUUGCAUGGCUAAAUUGAGAGGG